CUUUUUCUUACUUGUUCCUCAAGAGAAACAGUCUGACAUUGGCUGGAGGUGGUGCAUGUACGGAGUGUGGGGAUCAGCUCAACCAUGUCGAGGAGAAAAAGUCAGACCAACUCAAAACAAACACUGUUACCAUGAUUGCCGGUUUACAUCUUAUGAAACCUACAUUGCGUGUGAUGGGACCGGGUAAAAUGGCUUCGAAACUCAAACCCGGAGAUGGAGAUAACAGCCCCAGGUGUGCUGUGGUUCUAACACCCAGACCCAACAGGAGGAGGAAAGUGCUGAUGUAGGCUGAUAAUCUACCACAUGCUGCAGCUAUGUUGUGGGUGUGCCCUUCCAUCAGUGUUGGAGCUGUGUCUGGACAUCAGAGUUACAGACGUAAUGUGAAGAACUAGACAGAAACAUCUAGAACACAGGAACCAGGGGAACCAGAGGACCCAGAAGGAAUCAGGUGUUUCAGGCACCUGGCAGGGUGGAUGGCACUGAGGAGCCUUCAGCUGCGACACGACACCUCUGAUGUGCAUGUGAUGGGCACAUGUACUCUGGCAGUUCACCUGGCGGCGUGCACAGAGCGCUGUGCAUGUGUAGGUAAGUUCAUGUGUCCUUUCAAAGGAAACGACUUCCGAGUAUCUGUCUGUGAAGGGGAAGUAAACAAGCAGCUUCUGGCACCCCACAGUAGUUAGUGAAGGUGGUCAGAUAUCAAAAGAUGAUAUCUGUAUGAAAGGUUUGGUGUCAGAGGUGUGUACAAGUUUCAUUGGUUAACCUAGAGUCAAUUGCUAGCUAGCUAAGCAGCUGUUUCAGGAGUUUUUUUUAUUUGGGAGACUACAGCUUGAGCCCAAAGAUGUUGCCCAGGAGCUCCCUAGAGACUAGGGAUAACAGCAGACAGGAGGAGAUCCAUUUUAAUCUACUGAAAGCUAGACACUUCUCUAUCGUGUCAUUAGAAUAUCAAUGAGGAGACAGAACAUUCCAGUUCUAUAAUCUAGAUGGGAAGAAGGAUAGCAGACUGUAAAAAUGAAAGCUUGACUCAAGUUUUUCAUGGCUCUGAUUCAACUGGGUCUUGCAGUGUAAACCAUGUCUACACUAAUGCUAUGUUAAAAAGCUCUCUUGAGACACUCGCAAAACAGUUCACCAUAUUAGUACAGCAAAGAAAUAAGUGAUCCAAAACCAAAAUGAGACAUUUCAUCGCAGGAUAAUGUGUGUGUGUCUCUGAACACAUACUGUACAGUAUCCUGCCCAAAACACACAUUCCAUGAUGUCAGUGGCAGUGUGUGUGGAUAUUGUGUAUUGUGUAUAAGUGUGUGUAUUUUGCUGGUACAGUAAUAAUAGUCCCCCUGUCAGGUUGGGCUAGUAGGGCCACUCCUCUCACCCACAGGGGGCUGUGGCAGACGCCAAGCCCCACAGAACAGCUUCCAACUGGGGUACGACCAGACCAGCACUGCCCCCCCAGGAUACACCCACCACUGAACAACUGCUUCUCAUACACUUCAAGUAUUUAAAGACCCAACAGUACAACAGACACAAUCAUACCUGGAGAUAUCGCACAGGAAGAAUCUCAUGUUCUUGUCUUCAUUCACAGGGGCUGAAAAAGACAGAUUUCUAAUUCAAGUCUCUUACAGUUUGUUUCAGGAGGUGAGAUAGAUGACUUGAGAUGGAACUAACUCCAUGGUGAGUGCCAGUGAUGGCAGGGCAUGGAUGAUGGACAGAUCGCCAGCCUGGCAGGCCAGGGUUCAACGGGGCUAACCAGAGUAGCGCCUCAGUGGUGGUCAUACAGAGGCCAGACAGCCCCCCCUGUUGGUCUCUCUCUCCUAGUGACAUCACUAGUGC